rnacentral:misc_RNA from 1 species
GUGAAUCAUCGAAUCUUUGAACGCACCCUGCACCUUUUGGCUAUCCGGAAGGUCUGCCUGUUUGAGUAGAUGAAAUAAGCAUCAAGUGGCAAGCUGCCGUCGCACAGUAGCCAGCUUGGGAUUGAGCUUUCCAGUGUCUGCUACAUCCGUAGCAACCCUGGUAGCUUUAAAUGCAUGAAUCGGAACGAGUGUGCCUGAUGGCGCGAACGGUGUUUUAGUCGGGUCAGAGAUGACCGGUCAAGCACGCCAGUAGCGGCACUCUAAAGCGCGCUCGCGUCCGAACACUGGGGCAGUGGUUUG